rnacentral:rRNA from 1 species
GACGAACGCUGGCGGCGUGCUUAACACAUGCAAGUCGAACGCUGAAGCCUAGCUUGCUGGGUGGAUGAGUGGCGAACGGGUGAGUAACACGUGAGUAACCUGCCCUCUCCUUUGGGAUAACGCCCGGAAACGGGUGCUAAUACUGGAUAUUCACUGGCCUUCGCAUGGGGGUUGGUGGAAAGGUUUUUUCUGGUGGGGGAUGGGCUCGCGGCCUAUCAGCUUGUUGGUGGGGUGAUGGCCUACCAAGGCUUUGACGGGUAGCCGGCCUGAGAGGGUGACCGGUCACAUUGGGACUGAGAUACGGCCCAGACUCCUACGGGAGGCAGCAGUGGGGAAUAUUGCACAAUGGGCGAAAGCCUGAUGCAGCGACGCCGCGUGAGGGAUGGAGGCCUUCGGGUUGUAAACCUCUUUCGCUCAUGGUCAAGCCGCAACGUUUGGUUGUGGUGAGGGUAGUGGGUAAAGAAGCGCCGGCUAACUACGUGCCAGCAGCCGCGGUAAUACGUAGGGCGCGAGCGUUGUCCGGAAUUAUUGGGCGUAAAGGGCUUGUAGGCGGUUGGUCGCGUCUGCCGUGAAAUCCUCAGGCUUAACUGGGGGCGUGCGGUGGGUACGGGCUGACUUGAGUGCGGUAGGGGAGACUGGAACUCCUGGUGUAGCGGUGGAAUGCGCAGAUAUCAGGAAGAACACCGGUGGCGAAGGCGGGUCUCUGGGCCGUUACUGACGCUGAGGAGCGAAAGCGUGGGGAGCGAACAGG